GACAGAGGGUGCAAACGUUGUUCGGAAUUACUGGGCGUAAAGCGUGUGUAGGCGGCCACGUAAGUCGGAUGUGAAAGCCCCAGGCUCAACCUGGGAAGUGCACUCGAUACUGCGUGGCUUGAGUAUCGGAGAGGUUGGUGGAAUUCUCGGUGUAGAGGUGAAAUUCGUAGAUAUCGAGAGAAACACCGGUGGCGAAGGCGGCCAACUGGACGAAUACUGACGCUGAGACACGAAAGCGUGGGGAGCAAACAGG
rnacentral:rRNA from 1 species